AUAUGUUGCGAGUGGAUGAACGUGUGGAGGUAGCCUAGUAAAGGAGCCCUUUGAAGUUAUUGAUAAUCAGAUGAAAACAUAAUGCCUGGUUGUGUUUAUGCCACAAUAAAAAAAUAGCACAUUUUAGAAGUUAAAUGACAAAUCUUUACGACUUGGCCCAUAUCGAUGAAAAUGAAUUAAUAUAGUUAUAUGAUUAGGCCCAUGCAAAUAUGUGUUGCACUCGCAGAGUGUGCACACAUGAGGUCCCGUACUGGGAAUAAAUGUAAUCUACUUUCACCCCUGGGCAGCCUGAAGUACCCCGGUUGUCUUCAAUUUGAGUUCGUCAAUGAGAGGGGGCAGCACUGAGCUAGCCUGUAAACGUCACUUCCUUCCAAACUGCGCAUGUUAUUUCCGCGUUCAAAACAACUGGGAACUCGGAAUUGGGAAAUUGAGCUUUUUUUCUUCUUUUUUUUUUUAUUAACAACAAAUCAAUACAGAAACUACAUGAGGGAACACAAGUAUGUAUAGAUUAUAUACAAUGGACAAUCGAGCUAGGGGGUACAAUAUCACAUUACAAUUACACAAGGACCUUAAGGGACACUGCAAUUCUAACAGCUUUUUUGUUAGUAGAGUAUUUAACUGUCUUAAAAUACAGUUACAUUUCUUUUUGUAGGGUAAGAAAAUGUGUUUUUUUGUUUGUAAAUGUACAUUUGUGUAUAUGAAAUUUGGCCAAAAGAAUAAUGAAAUUAAUUACAUAAAAAUGUUUCAGUUUAUUUCUAUCGUAUGUAAUGAAUCCAAGCAGUACAUCUCUCCACAAUAGUCAAUUUGAGUUGAUGUUUUCCUUAAACUUCUUCAUAUAGUGGUUGGCAGGAUAAUAUUUAUGAAUAAUUUCAAAGGAAACUUCCUUAAUUUUGUUAACAAGUAGGUAUGUGUGUGGCAACAUCCAAACUUUUUUCCAACCGAUAUUAUCAAUAAAUCCAUUCCAAUAAGGCAUGACAUAAGGUAUAGAUACAACAUCCUGUUGAAACAAGGUUCGUAUCGCUCUGUU
ensembl:lncRNA